ACAUCAAGUGUUCAACCACCUUCCAUCACUAAGGCACAAAAACAAUCUUCACAUUUGACUCUGUCUUUGUCUCUGGCCGCUGCUGUCGGCCUGUUGACUCUCUGCUUGAUCUUUACUGUCUGCAGGAUGAGGAACUCCUGUAAAAAAUCAGAUCGAGUGGUCAUUCACCAGACCCCUCACAGUGAUGGAGAGGAGCAUGAAAAUAAUGAGUCGGAGGAGCUGAACUCAAACUCUUCACGAGGAUCUCUACAAUGGUAUCAAGUUCCUGUUUACUGGUCUUACUUUGAUGUACAGAGAGAUAAAGAAGAAGCUGACCAAGCACAAGCAGAAUAAAGACCAUUUUAGUCAUUGGUUUGUACCAUAUCUUUCUCUCUCUCUGUCAGUUGUGAGAGUAUUUUUGUAAACAUUAGAGUCAGAUUUGAAAGAUAAAGUGGAAAUCUUUUGAUUUUAAUCUCACCGCUCACGUGUGCUGUCCGCAUGUGGUGCAAUGUUAGAUUUUUGUUCUUGUAAUUUUUUGUUUCUUUCAUUACAAGCCUGUUAUCAACGUAAUCACAAUGUUAUCAUGUAUCACAUAUUUUGUGGUGUUUGGUUUUAUUUAUUGGGCUAUGGUUAGACAUCUAUUCAAUCUUAGCCUAGACAUCUGGGCUGGACACCAGAUGUCUUUUAAACGCAAUUUGCUUGCUUGGAAAUUAAUUCAAUUGUAUUUCAAACAAUACACGCUGCCCAGGUCUUCAGAUGUUUAUUUAAGUUUUAUUCUGUAAAUACAACACACACCAGCUAUGUAUAUAUUUUUUAUAUAUUUUUUUACUUGUCUGUGAGAUUCACUUUCAUUUUGAGGUCGCUGUUGACAUUUACAAUAAAAGUCUGUGAAA